rnacentral:rRNA from 1 species
AGCAGCCGCGGUAAUUCCAGCUCCAAUAGCGUAUAUUAAAGUUGUUGCAGUUAAAAAGCUCGUAGUUGAAUUUCGAGAUCAAAUUGUUGGUCGUGCCUUGGUACGCACUGGCAUUAUUGGUUUCUCCCUUCUGAAGAACCAUGAUGUCAUUAAUUUGGUGUCUUGGGGAAUCAGGACUGUUACUUUGAAAAAAUUAGAGUGUUUAAAGCGGGCUCGCGCUUGAAUACAUUAGCAUGGAAUAAUGAAAUAGGACGUUUUGAUUCUAUUUUGUUGGUUUCUAGGAUCGACGUAAUGAUUAAUAGGGAUAGUUGGGGGCAUUAGUAUUCAAUUGUCAGAGGUGAAAUUCUUGGAUUUUAUUGAAGACUAACUACUGCGAAAGCAUUUGCCAAGGAUGUUUUCAUUAAUCAAGAACGAAAGUUAGGGGAUCGAAGACGAUCAGAUACCGUCGUAGUCUUAACACUAAACUAUGCCGACUAGGGAUCGGAUGAUGUUAAUUUUUUAAUGUACUCAUUCGGCGUAC